rnacentral:hammerhead_ribozyme from 1 species
ACUGCUGAGGAGUCCCACAAUAGGACGAAAUGCGCGUCAAACUGAAU